rnacentral:rRNA from 1 species
GAUGAACGCUGGCGGCGUGCCUAAUACAUGCAAGUCGAGCGAACAGAUAAGGAGCUUGCUCCUUUGACGUUAGCGGCGGACGGGUGAGUAACACGUGGAUAACCUACCUAUAAGACUGGAAUAACUCCGGGAAACCGGGGCUAAUGCCGGAUAACAUUUAGAACCGCAUGGUUCUAUAGUGAAAGAUGGUUUUGCUGUCACUUAUAGAUGGACCCGCGCCGUAUUAGCUAGUUGGUAAGGUAACGGCUUACCAAGGCAACGAUGCGUAGCCGACCUGAGAGGGUGAGCGGCCACACUGGAACUGAGACACGGCCCAGACUCCUACGGGAGGCAGCAGUAGGGAAUCUUCCGCAAUGGGCGAAAGCCUGACGGAGCAACGCCGCGUGAGUGAUGAAGGUCUUCGGAUCGUAAAACUCUGUUAUUAGGGAAGAACAAAUGUGUAAGUAACUGUGCACGUCUUGACGGUACCUAAUCAGAAAGCCGCGGCUAACUACGUG